rnacentral:rRNA from 1 species
CCAGACUCCUACGGGAGGCAGCAGUGAGGAAUAUUGGUCAAUGGGCGGAAGCCUGAACCAGCCAAGUCGCGUGAGGGAAGAAGGCCCUGCGGGUCGCAGACCUCUUUGGACGGGGAGCAAGGCCGCCGACGUGUCGGCGGAAGGAGAGUACCCGUAGAACAAGCAUCGGCUAACUCCGUGCCAGCAGCCGCGGUAAUACGGAGGAUGCGAGCGUUAUCCGGAUUUAUUGGGUUUAAAGGGUGCGCAGGCGGCGCGGCAAGCCGGCGGUCAAAGCGCGGGGCUCAACCCCGCCCAGCCGUCGGAACUGCCGGGCUAGAGUGGGCGAGAAGUGCGCGGAAUGCGUGGUGUAGCGGUGAAAUGCGUAGAUAUUAGGAGGAACACCAGUGGCGAAGGCGGCCUACUGGACGGUGACUGACGCUGAGGCUCGAAAGCGUGGGGAGCAAACAGGAUUAGAUACCCUUGUACG